AUUGAACGCUGGCGGCAGGCCUAACACAUGCAAGUCGAACGAGUGGCGGACGGGUGAGUAAUGUCUGGGAAACUGCCUGAUGGAGGGGGACAACUACUGGAAACGGUAGCUAAUACCGCAUACCAUCAGAUGGGCUCAGAUGGGAUUAGCUAGGUGGAGGGGUAACGGCUCACCAAGGCGACGAUCCCUAGCUGGUCUAAGAGGAUGUCCAGCCACUACGGAACGGAGACACGUUCCAGACUCCGACGUGAGGCAGCAGUGGGGAGUAUUGCACAGUCUGCUCAAGCUCGAUGCAGCCAUGCCGCUGGGAUGAAUAAGGCCUUCGGGUUGUCAAGUACUUUCAUUGUGUGGCCGUUACCCGCAGAAUAAGCCCCGGCUAACUCCGUGCCAGCAGCCGCGGUAAUAC
rnacentral:rRNA from 1 species